UACGGGGGGGAGCAAGCGUUGUUCGGAUUUACUGGGCGUAAAGGGCGCGUAGGCGGCGUGACAAGUCACUUGUGAAAUCUCCGGGCUUAACUCGGAAAGGUCAACUGAUACUGUGCGACUAGAGUGCAGAAGGGGCAACUGGAAUUCUCGGUGUAGCGGUGAAAUGCGUAGAUAUCGAGAGGAACACCUGCGGCGAAGGCGGUUUGCUGGGCUGACACGAGACGCUGAGGCGCGAAAGCCCAGGGAGCGAACGGG
rnacentral:rRNA from 1 species